GAUAGGAGAAUGACAAAUUAUAUUUUUCUUCCUAAUUUUCAGCUUACUCCCCUAAAAAAAUUCAAAUCUAACUAAAAAUGCUAAAAUUAAGAGGAAAAAAUAUGAUUUGUCAUUUUCCUAUU
rnacentral:pre_miRNA from 1 species